rnacentral:rRNA from 1 species
GACGAACGCUGGCGGCGUGCCUAAUACAUGCAAGUCGAACGCAGUGGGGACUGGUGAGUAACACGUGGGUAACCUCCCAUCAGAGUGGAGAACACGUGGAAACCGGUGCUAAACCGAUACUGAUGGAUGGACCCGCGGUGCAUUAGCUAGUGGGUGAGGUAACGGCUCACCAAGGCCACGAUGCAUAGCCGACCGGAGAGGGUGAUCGGCCACACUGGGACUGAGACACGGCCCAGACUCCUACGGGAGGCAGCAGUAGGGAAUCUUAGGCAAUGGACGAAAGUCUGACCGAGCAACGCCGCGUGAGUGAAGAAGGUUUUCGGAUCGUAAAACUCUGUUGUCAGAGAAGCGGUAUCUAACCAGAAAGCCACGGCUAACUACGUGCCAGCCGCCGCGGUAAUUC